AUAGAAGUUGGCCAAGGAAGUUUAAAGCUGGUUUAUUCUUCAGAUGAAGGGAAACUUACUCAUUAUGUCAAUACCAGAAGCCUGGUAACCACUGCUGUUGAACAAUCUUAUGGUUAUUAUUCUGGAAAUGAUGGUACUGAUAAAGAUCCACAGGCAUCUGGAGCUUAUGUUUUCCGUCCAAAUGGUACCUUCCCAAUAAAAUCUGAAAACCAGGUUCCUUUAACUUUUGUAAGGGGUCCACUACUGGAUGAAGUACGCCAGCAAAUCAACCCAUGGAUAUCUCAGAUUACUAGGAUCUACAAGGGGAAGGAACAUGCUGAAGUUGAGUUCACUAUUGGGCCUAUACCUGUGGAUGAUGGGAUUGGAAAAGAAAUUACUACCCAAAUUACAACCACUAUGAAGACCAAUAACACAUUCUAUACAGACUCUAAUGGACGUGACUUUAUUAAACGGAUUCGAGAUUUUAGGACAGACUGGGACCUCCAAGUAAAUCAACCAGUUGCUGGAAAUUAUUAUCCUAUCAAUCUUGGAAUUUAUAUGCAAGAUAACAGCUCGGAGCUCUCAGUGUUGGUGGACCGCUCAGUGGGAGGAUCUAGCUUAGUGGAUGGCCAAAUAGAACUGAUGCUCCAUAGGAGGUUGCUUCAUGAUGAUUCAAGAGGUGUUGGUGAGGUGCUGAAUGAGACAGUUUGUUUCUUAAAUGGGUGUGAGGGUUUAACUAUCCAAGGAAAGUAUUUUGUUAGAAUUGAUCACCUGGGAGAAGGUGCCAAGUGGCGUCGAACAGUUGGUCAAGAGAUAUAUUCCCCAGUUCUCUUAGCCUUCACAGAGCAGGAUGGAAGUAAUUGGAUGAAUUCCCAUAUAUCUACUUUUUCAGGAAUAGAUCCAUCCUACUCUUUACCUGAUAAUGUUGCUGUCAUAACCCUUCAGGAACUUGAAAAUGGAAAGGUGCUACUUCGGUUGGCUCAUCUAUAUGAGAUUGAAGAAGACAAAGACUAUUCUGUGGUUGCAAGUGUGGAAUUGAAAAAGCUGUUUCCAAACAAGAAGAUAAGUAAAGUGACAGAGUUGAGUUUGUCAGCCAACCAAGAAAGAGCUGACAUGGAGAAGAAGAGGUUGGUUUGGAAAGUAGCAGGCUCCACGGAAGAACGUAGGGUGAUGAGGGGAGGACAUGUAGAUCCUGCCAAGUUGGCUGUGGAACUUGCUCCGAUGGAAAUUCGUACCUUCUUGAUAGAUUUCAAUUAUCUUCAAAUGUUUAGUUCUUGAAUUCCUGAGCAAGCACUUCUUGCAGUGCUGAGAUGAAUUAACUGCUAUUUCUAUGGAAAAGUAGCAAAUUAAUGAUGAGUUCAGCUGUCGUAAGCAUUGGCUUAAGUUUCAUAGAUAAGCCAUGCAUCACAAUGUAAACAGUUU
rnacentral:misc_RNA from 1 species